rnacentral:lncRNA from 1 species
AGCUACAGGUAGAGCGUGAAGCACUGAGUAAGUGGAUAAAGAAGCAGAGCCCCGGUGCACAGGUCCCGGAACCGCCCUCUCCCCUGCCUCUGCUCCCCAAGGAGGACCCUGACAUCCAUGACAACAACAGUGACAAUGAUAUGGUCACCAAGGUCCUGCUGUAGCAUGACUGACCGCUCCAUGUGUAAACCUAACCAUAGGCUGCAGGCGCGGCAGCGCCCCCAAGUCCAGUAGCCUGGAUUAGGUACACAGACAGGAUAGUCCUCACAGCUACCUCUUUGUAGUCCUGAAGGCAUUUUAAGCCAUUCUCUAAACACCAGAGACUCAUCACCCUGGUCCACUCUUUUCCAAAUGUAUAAUCUUGACUUGGCACCACCAUGUUCCAGAAAGGAACCUUGAGUAUCACUGACUCCCUGGCUCCCUGCCUUCAGCAUCUAUAGAACCCCACCUUGGACCAGUCCCAAAGAGACCCCUUUUUGUUCCUGUCCCUCAUGUGGCUAACCCAAGGCAGUGAGCACCCUUAAAUCAUCUUUGCCUGGAUGAGACCCAGCGACAAGUACAUUCUCCCAUUUUCUUGUCUUGCAUCUUGCCACCUUACUAGCAAGACAUCGGCCACUAGGGAGAAGUUUCUUGCCCCACAGGUCCCCACAGACCUCCCCCUGAACCAAAAGAAAAACCAGAGGCCGCGCCUCCCCACUGCCUUAGAGUCAACCCCUAUCUCAUUCCCUCCCUUUCUUCAGCCCGCUCCUCCCGCCCCCCCCCCAUGCCUCCUAUCCCAGAAAGUCAAGAUGUCCUCGUUGCCCACACUUGCCACUUUGCAUCUCACCAUGUUUGUUUCAUGUCCUGCGCAUGCUAAGCUAGCACCCAGAAGCCACACAUGGCUUCCCCAGCCCUGACCUGCCUUCUGAAGCCCCUUCUUUUGGAGGUGCACUGUGCCUUUCUAAAGGCUUUUGUUUUGAGGUAGGGUCUUUUUAAGGUAGAUUAAACGUAAAUGCCUUUUUUAUGAGACGUUUGAAAGGGCAAUCUGACCAUUAUAUUUUAUAAAAACCACAUACAUUCUAGGACAAAUCACUGCAUUUGAUUUGGGAAAAAUGUUUCUAUGACCGACGUGAAAUAUAACCCUGACAGAUUAAUUUCAUGAAAUACUUGUAGUUUUGCAACACUCCUUUUUUUUUUUUAAUAAACUUUUAUUUAUCUGC